rnacentral:rRNA from 1 species
CGGUAAUUCCAGCUCCAAUAGCGUAUACUAAAGUUGUUGCAGUUAAAAAGCUCGUAGUUGGAUUUCUGCGGGGACGGAGCGGCCGGUCGCAACUUGCGACUCGAGCUAGCGCUUUCCCCGCAUCCUGCCGCGAACCGUGCUACCAUUAGUUUGGUGGCGCUGGGGAUCGGCUCGAUUACUUUGAGAAAAAUAGAGUGUUCAAAGCAGGCCACACGCCUUGAAUAAGUUAGCAUGGAAUAAUGACUAAGGACUUCGGUUCUAUUUUGUUGGUGUUCGGGACUGAAGUAAUGAUUGAUAGGGACAGUUGGGGCGGUCUGCAUUCCAAAGCGAGAGGUGAAAUUCUUAGACCUUCGGAAGACAAACAGCUGCGAAAGCGUUCCGCAAGGAUGUUCCCUUUGAUCAAGAACGAAAGUUGGGGGAUCGAAGACGAUCAGAUACCGUCGUAGUCUCAACUAUAAACUAUACCAGCUAGGGAUCGGUCAACGUUUAAUUAUUCGACUUGAUCGGCACCUUAUGAGAAAUCAAAGCAUCUGGGUUCCGGGGGGAGUAUGGUCGCAAGGCUGAAACUUAAAGGAAUUGACGGAAGGGCACCACCAGCCGUGGAGCCUGUGGCUUAAUUUGACUCAACACGGGAAAACUUACCAGGUCCAGACAUAGUAAGGAUUGACAGAUUGAUAGCUCUUUCUUGAUUCUGUGGGUGGUGGUGCAUGGCCGUUCUUAGUUGGUGGAGUGAUUUGUCUGGUUAAUUCCGUUAACGAACGAGACCCCAGCCUGCUAAAUAGCGCGGCUGAGCUUUGCUCGGUGCGAGCUUCUUAGAGGGACUAUGAUGCGCGAUAGCACAUGGAAGUUUGGGGCAAUAACAGGUCUGUGAUGCCCUUAGAUGUUCUGGGCCGCACACGGGCUACACUGGCGCCUGCAACGAGCAUAUCAGCUGGCCCGAGAGGGUCUUGGCUAAUCUUUUGAACCGGCGCCGUGCUUGGGAUUGACCUUUGCAAUUGUUGGUCAUGCAACGAGGAAUGCCUUGUAAACGCGAGUCAUCAGCUCGCAUUGAAUACGUCCCUGCCCUUUGUACACACCGCCCGUCGCUCCUACCGAUGAAUGUUCCGAUGAAAUUUUCGGAGAGCGCCAGAGAACGGGGCUCUGCCUUGCAGAUCUGGAGGCUCAAAGUCACUUAAAUCUGAACAUUUCGAGGAAGGAGAAGUCGUAACAAGGUAGCCG